GAUGAACGCUGGCGGCGUGCCUAAUACAUGCAAGUCGAGCGAACAGACGAGGAGCUUGCUCCUCUGACGUUAGCGGCGGACGGGUGAGUAACACGUGGAUAACCUACCUAUAAGACUGGGAUAACUGCGGGAAACCGGAGCUAAUACCGGAUAAUAUAUUGAACCGCAUGGUUCAAUAGUGAAAGACGGGUUUGCUGUCACUUAUAGAUGGAUCCGCGCCGCAUUAGCUAGUUGGUAAGGUAACGGCGUACCAAGGCAACGAUGCGUAGCCGACCUGAGAGGGUGAUCGGCCACACUGGAACUGAGACACGGUCCAGACUCCUACGGGAGGCAGCAGUAGGGAAUCUUCCGCAAUGGGCGAAAGCCUGACGGAGCAACGCCGCGUGAGUGAUGAAGGUCUUCGGAUCGUAAAACUCUGUUAUUAGGGAAGAACAAAUGUGUAAGUAACUAUGCACGUCUUGACGGUACCUAAUCAGAAAGCCACGGCUAACUACGUG
rnacentral:rRNA from 1 species